UACGUAGGGUGCGAGCGUUAAUCGGAAUUACUGGGCGUAAAGCGUGCGCAGGCGGUCUGUUAAGACCGAUGUGAAAUCCCCGGGCUUAACCUGGGAACUGCGUUUGAAACUACAAGGCUAGAGUGUGGCAGAGGGGGGUGGAAUUCCGACGUGUAGCAGUGAAAUGCGUAGAGAUGUGGAGGAACACCGAUGGCGAAGGCAGCCCCUGGGUUAACACUGACGCUCAGGCACGAAAGCGUGGGGAGCAAACAGG
rnacentral:rRNA from 1 species